rnacentral:rRNA from 1 species
AUGAAGGCGACGGUCAAGGGCCGCUACGAGGGCGACAAGGCCACCGCGGCCGCCACGCUCGCGCUCGCCGCCGCCGGCGACCUCCGCCUCCGCGCCUCCGCCACCGACGCCGCCUUCGCCGCCGGCCCCUCCCUCGACGGCCUCACCCUCACCCUCGAGAAGCCCGGCGCCUUCCUCCUCGACCUCAAGCCCCACAACCAGGAUGUGCGCUUCCAGUUCAUGAACUCGGCGACGGUGCUCGACAAGCGGGUCAGCCUCACCUACACGCACUCCACCUCCCUCGCGCCCGCCGCGCCCAAGCCCGCCAUCCCGGCCCCGGCCGCCGGCGCCGCGCCCGCGCCCCCGCCUAAGGGGCCGCCUCCCGGCCGCACGGCGCUCGACCUCUCCAUCGCCUUCGACCCCGCCAACAAGGUCAGCGUCUCCCACGCGCUCGGCGGGGGCGGCUGCCGGGUCAAGUACACCUACGCGCACGGCGCCGGCCGCCUCACCACCAUCGAGCCCGUCUACGACACCGCCAAGAACGCCUGGGAGUUCGCCGUCGCCAGGAAGUUCGACGCCGGGGACGUCGUCAGGGGCACCUACCAGGCCUCCACCAAGCAGCUCGGGCUCGAGUGGACCAGGAGCUCCAGCAUCGGCGGCUCCUUCAAGGUUGCGACGACGUUCGAUCUGUCCGAUCAAAGCAAAGCACCGAAGCUCGUAGCGGAGAGCACGUGGAACUAUGAGAUCUGA